CGAACGCUGGCGGCGUGCCUAAUACAUGCAAGUAGACCGCUGAAGGAAGGAGCUUGCUCUUUCUGGAUGAGUUGCGAACGGGUGAGUAACGCGUAGGUAACCUGCCUGGUAGCGGGGGAUAACUAUUGGAAACGAUAGCUAAUACCGCAUAAAAUUGAUUAUUGCAUGAUAGUCAAUUAAAAGGUGCAACUGCACCACUACCAGAUGGACCUGCGUUGUAUUAGCUAGUUGGUGGGGUAACGGCUCACCAAGGCGACGAUACAUAGCCGACCUGAGAGGGUGAUCGGCCACACUGGGACUGAGACACGGCCCAGACUCCUACGGGAGGCAGCAGUAGGGAAUCUUCGGCAAUGGACGGAAGUCUGACCGAGCAACGCCGCGUGAGUGAAGAAGGUUUUCGGAUCGUAAAGCUCUGUUGUAAGAGAAGAACGAGUGUGAGAGUGGAAAGUUCACACUGUGACGGUAGCUUACCAGAAAGGGACGGCUAACUACGUG
rnacentral:rRNA from 1 species